GCAAGGAUAGCUCAGUUGGGGGAGCGAUAGACUGAAGAUCUAAAGGUCAUGUGUUCGAUCCACGUUCAUUGCA